rnacentral:rRNA from 1 species
GUAUUCCGCUCCAUAGCGUAUAUUAAAGUUGUUGCAGUUAAAAAGCUCGUAGUUGAAUUUCGGGGUUAGUAGGUUGGUCAUGCCUCUGGUAUGUACUGGUCUCACUGAUUCCUCCUUCCUGAUGAACCUUAAUGCCAUUUAUUUGGUGUUUUGGGGAAUUUGGACUGUUACUUUGAAAAAAUUAGAGUGUUUAAAGCAAGCUAACGCUUGAAUACAUUAGCAUGGAAUAAUGAAAUAGGACGUUCGAUCCUAUUUUGUUGGUUUCUAGGAUUGACGUAAUGAUUAAUAGGGAUAGUUGGGGGCAUUAGUAUUCAAUUGUCAGAGGUGAAAUUCUUGGAUUUAUUGAAGACUAACUACUGCGAAAGCAUUUGCCAAGGAUGUUUUCAUUAAUCAAGAACGAAAGUUAGGGGAUCGAAGACGAUCAGAUACCGUCGUAGUCUUAACCAUAAACUAUGCCGACUAGGAAUCGGAUGAUGUUAAUUUUUUAAUGACUCAUUCGGCACCUUACGGGAAAACA